CGUUUCACUCAACAUCAGACCGAAUCGUUUCAAUUUUAACAUUAAUAGCUUUGAUAUAAAAAUUAAACAGUCUCUGCUUCCCAGCUAGCUUCCCUACAACAAUUUGAACCUUAUGAGACUAUUUACCAUGAAGAUAAAGGACUAGAAACAUUUGUUUAUUUUGUUAUAAGCGGCACCUGUAUGGUUCUACAAUGCUUAGAAAUCAAGGUCUCUAUGAAGCAAAAGGGAAAACGAUUCGAACUUGUUGAUUUUGUCAAGAGUGAUGAUACAUUCAGAAAUUUAAGCCUCGCAGAAAUUCGAAGCCAUAUGCGCGUAAAAUCCAGGUUUUCCUCCGUUGUAGAAGUCAAAUCGCAGUCAGAUGAGGAUAUUAGUGCUCAGCAACAAAAAAAG